rnacentral:rRNA from 1 species
GGGUUGUGAGGUUAAGCGACUAAGCGUACACGGUGGAUGCCCUGGCAGUCAGAGGCGAUGAAGGACGUGCUAAUCUGCGAUAAGCGCCGGUAAGGUGAUAUGAACCGUUAUAACCGGCGAUUUCCGAAUGGGGAAACCCAGUGUGACUCGUCACACUAUCAUUAACUGAAUCCAUAGGUUAAUGAGGCGAACCGGGGGAACUGAAACAUCUAAGUACCCCGAGGAAAAGAAAUCAACCGAGAUUCCCCCAGUAGCGGCGAGCGAACGGGGAGGAGCCCAGAGCCUGAAUCAGCAUGUGUGUUAGUGGAAGCGUCUGGAAAGGCGCGCGAUACAGGGUGACAGCCCCGUACACAAAAGCGCAUGUGCUGUGAGCUCGAUGAGUAGGGCGGGACACGUGGUAUCCUGUCUGAAUAUGGGGGGACCAUCCUCCAAGGCUAAAUACUCCUGACUGACCGAUAGUGAACCAGUACCGUGAGGGAAAGGCGAAAAGAACCCCGGCGAGGGGAGUGAAAAAGAACCUGAAACCGUGUACGUACAAGCAGUGGGAGCACCCUUUGGGGUGUGACUGCGUACCUUUUGUAUAAUGGGUCAGCGACUUAUAUUCUGUAGCAAGGUUAACCGAAUAGGGGAGCCGGAGGGAAACCGAGUCUUAAUUGGGCGUUAAGUUGCAGGGUAUAGACCCGAAACCCGGUGAUCUAGCCAUGGGCAGGUUGAAGGUUGGGUAACACUAACUGGAGGACCGAACCGACUAAUGUUGAAAAAUUAGCGGAUGACCUGUGGCUGGGGGUGAAAGGCCAAUCAAACCGGGAGAUAGCUGGUUCUCCCCGAAAGCUAUUUAGGUAGCGCCUCGUGAAUUCAUCUCCGGGGGUAGAGCACUGUUUCGGCUAGGGGGCCAUCCCGGCUUACCAACCCGAUGCAAACUGCGAAUACCGGAGAAUGUUAUCACGGGAGACACACGGCGGGUGCUAACGUCCGUCGUGAAGAGGGAAACAACCCAGACCGCCAGCUAAGGUCCCAAAGUCAUGGUUAAGUGGGAAACGAUGUGGGAAGGCCCAGACAGCCAGGAUGUUGGCUUAGAAGCAGCCAUCAUUUAAAGAAAGCGUAAUAGCUCACUGGUCGAGUCGGCCUGCGCGGAAGAUGUAACGGGGCUAAACCAUGCACCGAAGCUGCGGCAGCGACGCUGAUGCGUUGUUGGGUAGGGGAGCGUUCUGUAAGCCUGUGAAGGUGGCCUGUGAGGGUUGCUGGAGGUAUCAGAAGUGCGAAUGCUGACAUAAGUAACGAUAAAGCGGGUGAAAAGCCCGCUCGCCGGAAGACCAAGGGUUCCUGUCCAACGUUAAUCGGGGCAGGGUGAGUCGACCCCUAAGGCGAGGCCGAAAGGCGUAGUCGAUGGGAAACGGGUUAAUAUUCCCGUACUUGGUGUUACUGCGAAGGGGGGACGGAGAAGGCUAUGUUGGCCGGGCGACGGUUGUCCCGGUUUAAGCGUGUAGGUGUGUGUUCCAGGUAAAUCCGGUUCACUUUAACACUGAGGCGUGAUGACGAGGCACUACGGUGCUGAAGCAACAAAUGCCCUGCUUCCAGGAAAAGCCUCUAAGCAUCAGGUAACAUCAAAUCGUACCCCAAACCGACACAGGUGGUCAGGUAGAGAAUACCAAGGCGCUUGAGAGAACUCGGGUGAAGGAACUAGGCAAAAUGGUGCCGUAACUUCGGGAGAAGGCACGCUGACACGUAGGUGAAGUGAUUUACUCAUGGAGCUGAAGUCAGUCGAAGAUACCAGCUGGCUGCAACUGUUUAUUAAAAACACAGCACUGUGCAAACACGAAAGUGGACGUAUACGGUGUGACGCCUGCCCGGUGCCGGAAGGUUAAUUGAUGGGGUCAGCGCAAGCGAAGCUCCUGAUCGAAGCCCCGGUAAACGGCGGCCGUAACUAUAACGGUCCUAAGGUAGCGAAAUUCCUUGUCGGGUAAGUUCCGACCUGCACGAAUGGCGUAAUGAUGGCCAGGCUGUCUCCACCCGAGACUCAGUGAAAUUGAACUCGCUGUGAAGAUGCAGUGUACCCGCGGCAAGACGGAAAGACCCCGUGAACCUUUACUAUAGCUUGACACUGAACAUUGAGCCUUGAUGUGUAGGAUAGGUGGGAGGCUUUGAAGUGUGGACGCCAGUCUGCAUGGAGCCGACCUUGAAAUACCACCCUUUAAUGUUUGAUGUUCUAACGUGGACCCGUAAUCCGGGUUGCGGACAGUGUCUGGUGGGUAGUUUGACUGGGGCGGUCUCCUCCUAAAGAGUAACGGAGGAGCACGAAGGUUGGCUAAUCCUGGUCGGACAUCAGGAGGUUAGUGCAAUGGCAUAAGCCAGCUUGACUGCGAGCGUGACGGCGCGAGCAGGUGCGAAAGCAGGUCAUAGUGAUCCGGUGGUUCUGAAUGGAAGGGCCAUCGCUCAACGGAUAAAAGGUACUCCGGGGAUAACAGGCUGAUACCGCCCAAGAGUUCAUAUCGACGGCGGUGUUUGGCACCUCGAUGUCGGCUCAUCACAUCCUGGGGCUGAAGUAGGUCCCAAGGGUAUGGCUGUUCGCCAUUUAAAGUGGUACGCGAGCUGGGUUUAGAACGUCGUGAGACAGUUCGGUCCCUAUCUGCCGUGGGCGCUGGAGAACUGAGGGGGGCUGCUCCUAGUACGAGAGGACCGGAGUGGACGCAUCACUGGUGUUCGGGUUGUCAUGCCAAUGGCACUGCCCGGUAGCUAAAUGCGGAAGAGAUAAGUGCUGAAAGCAUCUAAGCACGAAACUUGCCCCGAGAUGAGUUCUCCCUGAGACUUUAAGUCUCCUGAAGGAACGUUGAAGACGACGACGUUGAUAGGCCGGGUGUGUAAGCGCAGCGAUGCGUUGAGCUAACCGGUACUAAUGAACCGUGAGGCUUAACCUUACAACGCCGAAG